rnacentral:rRNA from 1 species
CUACGGCCAUAUCAAGUUGAAACACCGAUUUUCAUACGAUCACCAAAGUUAAGCAAACGUCGAGGCUGGUCAGUAACGAGACGGGUGACCUCUUGGGAAUACCAGGUGAUGUAAG